rnacentral:lncRNA from 10 species
GGGAAGACCACUUUGAUCUAUUGCAUUCUAUUCUGUUUGAUUUUUGUGAUGAAGAUAGUUUAAAAUUUUCAUUUUGUGUUUGCUUUAUUGUCCACUUUUUGCAAGCUACUUGGUCAAGCAUUCACCAAACUAAAACUGUCCUUCUUCUCCAUCUUGACCUAGAGGCUCAAUUGGAAGCUCAGUAGGGUCUUCGGCUGCAUGCCAUCUCCAGUGCCCAGCAAGAGAUACCAAGAAUGUCCAAAAGCAGAAUGUCCUAACACAACAGAUGCAUUGGAGCAAGCCUGCCAUCUGAAGUAGGCUGAGUCUCUCUGCAAACAAUCCCAUCACCCCUACCAAUGAGCUUUGCCUCUACUCACCCAUCUGAGCUCCAGCCUUCGCGUGUGACUCCGAACGGUGGAGUUUUCUCCUAAAUCCAUUCAUCUUGCCAAAACACUGUUCACAAUAGCAAAGACAUGGAAUCUACUAAAUGCCCAUCAAUGGUAGACUGGAUAAAGAAAAUGUGGUACAUACACACCACGGACAACCAUGCAGCCAUAAAAAAGAAUGAGAUCAUGUCUUUUGCAGAGACAUGGAUGGAGCUGGAGGCCAUCAUCCUUAGCAAACUAGCACAGGAAGAGAAAAUUAAAUACUGCAUGUUCUCGCUUAUAAGUGGGAGCUAAAUGAUGGGAACAUAUGGGCACAUAGAGGGGAACAACAUACACUGGUUCCUAUCAGAGGAUGGAAGGUGGAAGGAGGGAGAGGAUCAGGAGAAAUAACUAAUGGGUACUAGGCUUAAUACCUGGGUGAUGAAAUCAUCUGUACAGCAAACCCCAUGACACAAGUUUACCUAUGUAACAAACCUGCACAUGUACCCCUGAACUGAAAGUAAAAGUUAAAAAAAAAAAGGAAAUGGACUAUUUUUUUAAUCCAGUGAAGUCUCGCUCACUGUUGAGUGAGCUUUUACCUACGUUUCCGCACAUCCGAUCACUGUCAAGGGCCCCCAGUCAUGUUAUGAACGUUGCUCAAAUACUCACCAAUGAAUGACCACGAAAUAAGUGGCGAGGGUAAAACCACAGCAAGAAGGAACAUGAGGAGCAGACUCUUCCUUUUGCCUCUCUCUGGCCAGGUUCCUUAUUUUCUUCGGGUGGAGGACUCAGGCCAGGCGCACCCAGCCACUGGCAGCCUCCGAGAGCCGCGGCGCUGGGUAGGAAGACAGGAAGUGGCGGUGGUGAGCAACGGUAGCUCGACUCGGGCAGCACUCACAGAUUUCACGGAACGUGGACGAGGCUCUCGUCAUGGGCUGACCACAGAGCCACAGCAGCAUGCGUGCUUUGCCCGAGUUACCUGAAACAUCGCGCCCAGGAGCCAGUGACGCACAGGGAGAGUUUCAGCAAGAAUGCUGGGCGGGCAGCACCUGUCCAAGACCUCAUUAAGUGCUUUAUUUCUAUCAGGGCACUUUCAGUGACAGAGAACUUCCGAAAUAAAGCUUUGGUCAUUCCACACCCAACCACCCCCACAAAUAUACGGAAUUAUGUUCUCUACCACUGGAAGAAUGAGGUUGCUUCAGCAAAG